rnacentral:misc_RNA from 1 species
AAACAAGUUUCCAGCAAGUUGGAUAGAUAAAUUGGUGCUACUCGGCUUUGGUGAAAUGACGGACGGUCAGCGCCAGUCCGAGAAUCAAAAUGGGAACGAGGAACUGCAGAAUUUUGAUGGUAAUGUCUGAAGUUUUAUUUGUAGGGUUAUAGGAAGUCUGUUGCGGCGCAAUGUAGGCCCGCUUUUUCGGGACUGUCGAGGCGUCUACCUCUCCUAUGUAGUAUUUGUCCA